rnacentral:rRNA from 1 species
GAUGAACGCUGGCGGCGUGCCUAAUACAUGCAAGUCGAACGCGCAGCGAAAGGUGCUUGCACCUUUCAAGCGAGUGGCGAACGGGUGAGUAACACGUGGAUAACCUGCCUCAAGGCCGGGGAUAACAUUUGGAAACAGAUGCUAAUACCGAAUAAAACUUAGUAUCGCAUGAUACAAAGUUAAAAGGCGCUACGGCGUCACCUAGAGAUGGAUCCGCGGUGCAUUAGUUAGUUGGUGGGGUAAAGGCUUACCAAGACGAUGAUGCAUAGCCGAGUUGAGGGAAGGAUCGGCCACAUUGGGACUGAGACACGGCCCAAACUCCUACGGGAGGCUGCAGUAGGGAAUCUUCCACAAGGGGCGCAAGCCUGAUGGAGCAACGCCGCGUGUGUGAUGAAGGCUUUCGGGUCGUAAAGCACUGUUGUAUGGGAAGAAAUGCUAAAAUAGGGAAUGAUUUUAGUUUGACGGUACCAUACCAGAAAGGGACGGCUAAAUACGUGCCAGCAGCCGCAGUAA